UUUUCUGCAAGGAAGGAUUUCCCUCCAGUCUGCGCAGGGCAAAGCAUUAAAGUCUGCUCUGUGGCAGGAUCCACAUUCAAUAUUUACCAUGUCCCCUUUCCUCGGUUUCCAGACAAUCUGCACACCCCAAUCUGCUCUUGCAAUAAUGCUACAGUUGGUAAGUGGCAUUUCCACGGUCUGACUUGGCUGCCAGGAAAAUGUUGCAUCGGUGAAGUUUCCAGAAGGGAGCACGUGAUGGUUUUGGAGGAAGAGGAAUGACGAGUUCAACCCCAUGGAAUAAGGCUGUGGUUCACUGAAGAAGAGAUAAGGGUGGCAUUAAGCACUUACCACGUGCCAUGCUCCAUUCUAAACACUGGGGUAGAAGCAAGAUAAUCAAGCCGGACAUCAUCCCUAACCCUUAUGGGGUUCACAGUCUACGCUGGAGGGAAAUUAAUUAAUCAAGAAGUCAUUCUGGAAAUGAUUCUCAUCACCAAUAACAGUUGAUUAAGCUAAAGACAUCUUAUCAGCCGUGUUAUGAACCCAAAUCUGUCAGGCAGAGAGAUUUACUUCCGAGGACUUAUUUCUCAUUUUUGUUUUGGAUUUUGUUUUUGGGGGGUUUUUUGUACCUGUGCUCUGGAUAGAGUUUUUACGGGAUUAAACACAGGACAGUCAUUCAUUCAAUCGUAUUUAUCGAGUGCUUACUGUGUGUAGAGCACAGUACUAAGCGCUUGGAAAGUACGAGUCCCAUUCAGUUGGUGUGGUGGAAUGGAUCUUCUCACCCCAAUCCAUUUCGUGUUUCCGAAAAUCACUGAAUUGACCUUUAUGGGAAUGAGUAACACUAACGUCAAUAAACUUGUGAGUACUUUAA